AUUUAUAUAGUUUAAAAAAAACAUUACACUUUCAUUGUAAAAUUAGAAUAACCUUAUAAAUA
rnacentral:tRNA from 1 species